AGGUGUUUUAUUUUCUUUCUUUCUCUUGCUGAUCCUUCCUCUGUGGAGUUUUUUUCUGCAAACCUGGAUCUUCAGGUUCAGGAAAGGCCAUGGAAAGGGCCAUAGCAGAUCCAAGGUUGCAGAGAUUUUGUGUGUGUUGCUGCUGGACACCUGAAGGAAAUGGCAGAGGGAAAGGACUUUUCGAGGGGAUUAGUUGCUCUGUGUCCCAGCUGAAGGAAAAGAGGGAAGGAAGUCACCGCACACUCCUGUUGCUUGAGUCCAGUCCACCACCUCUGGAUUUCCACUGACCUUUUCUCCAGAAGGCGUAAAAAUAACAAUAUUGUUCUUUUGAGGGAGAAAUACGAUAGAAGACUGAAAAAACCUUGUGGCACUUAACUGAAUAUUGCCCUGAUGGAAGCUAAGUGCUGGAUGGGACAAAUUUCUAGAGACGAGGCAAAGAAGAGAAACAAAUACUGAGAAGUAAAGGCUCACAUUCCUGACUGCUAAGUCUCAACAUGGUUCGUGAAACCUGAGUACAAGAAGACACUCAUAGCUGAGCAGUAUUGACCCACUGCAAGUGCCAAAAAUGAGCAGUUAUGUAUGUCUUCCUCACUAGAAACAAUCAUCUGGGAGACUGAAAAUGAAGUCAAGAGAACACCUAGCACAUUUAAAUUGUACCUUCAUUCUCUGGUACACUGUUGCUUAUGUCAUUCGUUAUGUGCAUUUUCUUUACUACUUGUAUGAUGCAUACAAAACAUAUCCAAAGCACUUGAAGUGUACGAAGGAACUCCUAUUAACCCCAUUGGAGAGAUUCUUGAGAUCUUGGGUGAAAAACAAAUUUACUCAGUGAAGUUAGGGAUAAUGAGCACAACAGUGGCUUUACUCUAAACAAAUGUGCUGUGAUAAUCAGUAGCUGUCAUGCCUGAGACCAUCAUAUGGUGAUUGACUCCCAGUUUAGUGACAGAUGCUUGCAAUUUUAUCAGGAAUCUUCCCUUUGAGCAACUUGCAACAUUUUCAUGUAAUUCUUUUCUUGUAUCCAUAGAAGAAAUACAAGAUCAGUUUUGUGAUUUUUAUGUCUGCGUAUAAACUCUGUUUUGCAGCCUUCUAUAUUGGAGUCUAUUUUCCAUUCAGGAAUUUCAGUAGGUCCAGUCCUGACAAAGAAUGCAGGCACGUUUACCACUGUCUUCAAUUCUAAAAUGGGAUUUAGUGAUUAU